UCGUUCUCUGAGUAUGAGCCUCCCUCUUGGCAGAGCCAAAGUUUCUCCGGACUGAUUUCAGGGUAAAGAUUGAAUCUUUGAGUUGCUCUUUAAUCUUUGAUAGCAAUCUCGUGCCGUAUUGAACGCGGCGAGUGAUGGGUUUAUAGAAUUAUUAUCAUCGACUAAAGUUGGAUCCUUUCAUAGAGAGUCUGAUUGACAUUGGUGGAUGCAUUUUAAUAGGUCGUUGAUUGAUGGAUUAUUGGAAACAACUAAUCUGGUUUAUCUAACAGUUUGAUUGUCGAACAUAUUCUGUUUCUGAUAAUUCAUUGGGCAUUUGUAAUGAAUUUUUCUUGAAUUUGUGAGCCUAAUCGUGCGCUUCCCUUACAGGUUUCAUAAGGGGUUGUUGGAUCAUGUAGCUUCUUAGUUAUGACCUCUAGCACAACAUGAGAUCGAAGGGUAUCACAGGACACAAUUGUUGCUUGAGUAGAAGCCCGUGAUUGUUAGUUACAUUAACUGGAAAACAAUGGAAACAGAGAAUUAAUUGACAAAGGCUAUAGAGCCCAAAGUACCCACACAUCAGUGCAACUCCAAGGAACAAGUCUGACCAUUUUAAAAUGUGCUUCCUGUUUAGCUCGUCACUUUCUUCUUUGUGCUUGCUUCUAGUGUUGCUGUAUUGGCAGUGCGUUAGUCUCAAAGCAACUUUCCAUUAGAGGAAGACCACAAAGACGUGAGCCUCGGUUAAGAUUUUCUAGACUGGUUGAAUUUUGCGGUGUUUUGGAAUGCUUGGAGCCUGAGUUCCCAAGAGCAUUGGCACGUGUUGAACUUGCUAUUUGAGAGGCUUAUUCUGGACAAAAUCAAAUCAACAGGAUCUUCAGACUUGAGUUCUUACUAUUCUGUUGUCCAGGUAUUGGUUCAAAUGUAUUGGCAUGAAGACUGUCCUGAAAAAGAGCCUCCUUGCCAUGGGUUCUAUGCAGACUUCACUAUGGCAACAAGAAUAACAAUACCAGAUUUCAUCACCAGUUUAUCCGUUCUAUUUUGCAAUGAGUUCAUGUGUUUCAUGUAUUGAUUUUGUGUGUUUUGUAUCUUUUUGGAAAAGCAUAUGUAUAUUAUGAUUUACUUGUAUUUUA